AUUGAACGCUGGCGGCAUGCCUUACACAUGCAAGUCGAACGGUAACAGGUCUUCGGAUGCUGACGAGUGGCGAACGGGUGAGUAAUACAUCGGAACGUGCCCAGACGUGGGGGAUAACGAGGCGAAAGCUUUGCUAAUACCGCAUACGAUCUAAGGAUGAAAGCAGGGGACCGCAAGGCCUUGCGCGUUUGGAGCGGCCGAUGGCAGAUUAGGUAGUUGGUGGGAUAAAAGCUUACCAAGCCGACGAUCUGUAGCUGGUCUGAGAGGACGACCAGCCACACUGGGACUGAGACACGGCCCAGACUCCUACGGGAGGCAGCAGUGGGGAAUUUUGGACAAUGGGCGAAAGCCUGAUCCAGCAAUGCCGCGUGCAGGAUGAAGGCAUUCGGGUUGUAAACUGCUUUUGUACGGAACGAAAAGGCUCUGGCUAAUACCUGGGGCACAUGACGGUACCGUAAGAAUAAGCACCGGCUAACUACGUG
rnacentral:rRNA from 1 species